GGUUCAUUCCGAUUUAUUUUUUCAUUUAUUCAGAUUUUUGAACGCAAAAUUAGUGCCCAUAGUGAAAAAACUACGAUGGAGUCCACUGCUGCUGGUGCAGAAUCGAAGUCCAAUUAUAGCUGGUGUCGUGAUGGAAUAUUCCGCCUUCGAUCAGCCUCUAACGGAAAACCCGAAAGAAUUCUAACUCAUUGUGGAAAAUGCAGCGGGACUUUUCCUCGGAACGUUUUUUUAACCAUGAUCGAUCUUUUGAUUGUCGAAAAACAAAAUCGGUUCUAUACAGGAUGUCGACAAGAACGGGUCGUAGGUUUAUGUCUAGAAACGCUUCUUACCGAUUGAUGGUUUUCCAUGGAUUGGACUACAGCAAAGACAAUUGCUUAUGAGACAGCCACCAUCAUACAAUUUAAAAGGAAAUGAUGCAGCUAAAUAUUAUGUUACAACGACGAAGAUAUUUAGAAAGUUGAUAGAGAAGCUUUUAGUAAAGGAACAUUUCUUCACUAGGACGCCGGGAUGAACAAUAUUAGGUAGCAAAUGUGAGCUGAUAGUAAAAAUAAUUUAGUUCAGAAUUGGACAAAUUGCUAUCCUUCAAAUAUUAUUUUGUGCUGUGCUUUAAAAUGCUUUGUGUAAUUCGGAAAUUAAUAGCGAAAGUAGGUAUUUACAAAUUUGAAACCAAAAAUUUUCGACAAUAGGAACGUUGCAAAAAUGCAAAUUGAAAAAAAAUGGCAAUUUAUAAGUUUUUUGAAUGUGAAAUCAUAGAUUGCUAUUAGGAAAGUUUCGGAACUUAUACAUCCGAUGUAG